UACGUAGGUGGCAAGCGUUUGUCCGGAUUUAUUGGGUUUAAAGGGUGCGUAGGCGGCCUUGUAAGUCAGUGGUGAAAUACUCUAGCUUAACUAGAGGGGUGCCAAUGAUACUGCAGGGCUUGAGUACAGAUGAGGUAGGCGGAAUUGACGGUGUAGCGGUGAAAUGCAUAGAUAUCGUCAAGAACACCUAUAGCGAAGGCAGCUUACUGGGCUGUAACUGACGCUGAGGCACGAAAGUGUGGGGAUCAAACAGGG
rnacentral:rRNA from 1 species